CUACCCAGCGAAUAACCGAUAUGGGACUAAACACACGCCCGCACGGGUCCUCACACAAAUCCAUGCAAACGGCUCAUGAUGAUGAACAUGUCUGGGUGGUUUCAUUAUAUCCUGUAAUUCCUGAACAUGGACCUGGAUCCUCAAAUUUUCGUCCCAGCAUAAUCAUUCAAGUGCUUUGUUCCUUGGACUACCAUGGAAGCAACAAUUUAUAGCAACUCUGAUGGGCAUAGAUUAGAUAAUAAUUGCUCAUCCCAUUCCCUCAAUAUUAGUAAUAUCUGCAAUAGUAUGUUCCUCAUCAACAACAUCCAUAUUAGAAUACUUCAUGAAGACCAUAAUAUCCUGGCCAUCACCAAUCAUCCACUGAAAAUGAUCGGCUAUGAGUCUUCCCCCAGGCAUGGAUCUUUCACUGCUGUUCAUUUCCUCCCAAAUCCUCCCAAAUCCUGAUGAUCUUUCACUGUUGUUCAUUUCCUGAAGCAGCAAUAACACACACAAAAAAAAGGGGCAAACACCUGUGGACGGAUCACCAUCCCCAUUACCACCGUUACCACCACCACUAAAUCUCUCCCCACUUGGUAGAAAGAGAACAAUCAGUGGAGUCAUCUGGCAUCGUCUGUGUGAGGCCGGAU
rnacentral:lncRNA from 1 species